rnacentral:rRNA from 1 species
CACCAACCAGCGCCAGGGAAUUACGAGCCAUGCUUAAAACCCAAAGGACUUGACGGUGUCCCACCCACCUAGAGGAGCCUGUUCUAUAAUCGAUGAUCCCCGAUAUACCUAACCAUCCCUCGCCCAUCAGUCUGUAUACCUCCGUCGAAAGCCUACCAUGUGAACGCUUACAGUAGGCCCAAUGAUUCCCCAUCAACACGUCAGGUCAAGGUGCAGCUUACGGAAUGGAAAGCAAUGGGCUACAAUUUCUAGUUUAGAACAAACGAAAGACUCUGUGAAACCCUAGUCAUGAAGGCGGAUUUAGUAGUAAAAGGAAAAUAGAGUGUUCCUUUUAACCUGGCUCUGGGACGCGUACACACCGCCCGUCACCCUCUUCGAUAGCACUUCACCUAGUAUAUAACCCUAUACCGCAUCUU